UUUUUAAUGAGAGUUUGAUCCUGGCUCAGGAUGAACGCUGGCGGCGUGCUUAACACAUGCAAGUCGAACGGACUACUUCGGUAGUUAGUGGCGGACGGGUGAGUAACGCGUGGGUAACUUGCCCUGUGCAGGGGAAUAACGUUUGGAAACAAACGCUAAUACCGCAUAAGCUAACAGUAUCGCAUGAUAGAGUUAGAAAAGAUUUAUCGGCACAGGAUAGACCCGCGUUGGAUUAGCUAGUUGGUGAGAUAACAGCUCACCAAGGCGACGAUCCAUAGCCGGCCUGAGAGGGUGAACGGCCACACUGGGACUGAGACACGGCCCAGACUCCUACGGGAGGCAGCAGUGGGGAAU
rnacentral:rRNA from 1 species